rnacentral:snoRNA from 1 species
UUAUAUGAUGAUCUUCCACACUCACGACGGUCUACUGUGCCCAAGAUACGUGGCUUUGAUGAUAUUCGCCUAUGACAUGGCGUGGACCUGAUU